AUGAUACAGUGUGCUCAUAAAAGGAAGCUGCCAGUUAUCGCCUUGAAGUUGGAUUUUCACAAAGCUUUUGAUAGUGUUAGCUGGCAUUGCCUGGAUCAAGUUCUUGAGGCCCGGGGUUUUCCACCCUCAUGGAUUCAGUGGGUUCAUUCUCUCCUUUCCACUAGACGCUCCCGUGUUCUAAUCAAUGGUGAGUUGGAUGAUCCCAUUCUUGCCAAAAGAGGCUUCCGGCAAGGUGAUUCCUUGUCCCCGUAUCUCUUCAUCCUGGUUGCGGACGUGCUACAGAGAUUAUGUUGCCAACACUUCCAGGAGGGCACCCUGCUUCAUCCCAUGGGCCCUGACAGCUUCUUACCAGUGCUGCAGUACGCGGACGACACUUUGAUACUUUUUCGGGGUGACAUUCAACAGGCGUCUGUAAGCAAGAGCAUCCUUACCUCUUUUUCAGACUUCUCCGGGCUGUAG
rnacentral:rRNA from 1 species